UCCACUCAAAGAAUUAUGGAUGGCAGAGAGUAUUUCCUAUGGAUGAGAUGUCAUAACCAACUUUGAAAAUGUUUUGUUUGAAAGAAAAAGAUCUGAAGAAGGAGAAAGAUCUAGAUUCAGAUGGAUUUAUAGACUGUCAGACCUUUUGUUAUCACUUAAUUCUGUAAUAGUAGUUCUUUAACACUGAGCCUGUAAACUUUUGAUUUGAUGGUUUAUCUAAUCUGAGAAAGCAGUGUCCAUGAUAUCAAUCUUUAAGCAUUUCAAGAUUAGCAAUACAGAAUAUCUGCAGAUGUAAUAGCAGAUGAAAAUCCCACACAAACAGGACACUCAGAUAUGUUAUUGGAAUUUAGAGAUAUUUCAUUUCUUUCUUGUGUGGAUUGGUUUAUAAGAAAAACUGUGUAUACCAGAAACAAUAUAAUAAACUAAUUACUUCA